rnacentral:rRNA from 1 species
UACGUAGGUGGCGAGCGUUGUCCGGAUUUACUGGGCGUAAAGAGCGCGCAGGCGGUCGUACAAGUCGCGUGUGAAAGCCCCCGGCUCAACUGGGGAGGGUCACGCGAUACUGUUCGACUCGAAGGCAGGAGAGGGAAGUGGAAUUCCCGGUGUAGUGGUGAAAUGCGUAGAUAUCGGGAGGAACACCAGUGGCGAAGGCAGCACUCUGGGACGGUACUGACGCUGAGACGCGAAAGCGUGGGGAGCGAACAGG